UACGGAGGGUGCAACCGUUGCUCGGAAUCAUUGGGCGUAAAGCGCACGUAGGCGGCCUGUUAAGUCGGGUGUGAAAGCCCUGGGCUCAACCCAGGAAGUGCACUCGAAACUGGCGGGCUUGAAUAUGGAAGAGGGUCGCGGAAUUCCCGGUGUAGAGGUGAAAUUCGUAGAUAUCGGGAGGAACACCAGUGGCGAAGGCGGCGACCUGGGCCGAUAUUGACGCUGAGGUGCGAAAGCGUGGGGAGCAAACAGG
rnacentral:rRNA from 1 species